GCCAGCUGGUGAAAGGUACAAUUGCUGCACGGCUCGAGUUGAAAGGUGAAUCACGAGAAGGAAAAACUCAUUAAGCGAGAGAAUUGUCGAUAGAAGUUAAUCAAAUGAGCAUCUCCGACAUGGCAACUACCAGUUCGCAAUUAUUGGCAAAUAUUCUUACUUUUUGUAUUUAGUUGUGUAUCAAUCCCAUUUUUCUCUUUUUGUUAGUGUGCCAGUUAUCAUUGAUUAUUAAUGUGGAAACUAAUUGCUCAGCUAACCAAAGCGUCGUGCUGCUGUUGGUUAUUGUAUCGCUGAUGGAUGGGUCGACAACGAGUGUACCGAUGUCUCCUGGGUAUAGUGGAUACUAAGCAUCAGCAGCGAAAGAAUACUACACCACGUCGCCACCUUUCUACACAACAAUGCCAACAUACGCAAUACCUACUUACUAAAAGAGGCCGCCAAAUUACUACACCACCUAGGCUUCAGAGUAUUGCAAGAAGUAUUACUCUGCCCCGAGCUUCUACACCGAUGAUUACUCUGCCCCGAGCUUCUACACCGAUGAUUACUCUGCUUUGAGUUACAUCACCAAGGCGUCAAGUACCACACUGAGUCUCGCAAGUACACCACUAAAGCUCCAGACUACUACACCGAUGCUUCAGCCUUUUACAACACCAAAUAGGUCGAAUACUUCACCGAAGUGCACCUAAGUAUUACACUGCAACCUACGCUACCCCAGCUUACACCGCCAUCACCCAAAAGCAACUCACGCUACGACCAGUUACUGCGCCGAGACCCCUAAGUACUACACCACUAAGGUACUGGUGUAUUAUGCUACCACAUAACUGCCCCCAGCUACUACACUGACGCCCCGAAGUAUUACUCUGCCCCGAGCUACACCAACAAGGUACCGGAGUACUACACGUAUACGUAUGCUCCCCCAACCUACUACACCGAAGCUCCCAAGUACUACUCUGUCCUCAGCUACUUACUACACCGAUGGCUAAAGUAGUAAGUACUCUGUUCCCAGCUACUACAACGAGGCUCCUGCUGAUUACUAAACCAAAAUGGUUGCAAACUACACCAAAGCGCCCAAGAACUACUCUGCCCCGAUCUACACAGCCACAACUUGCGGCAACAGGCGGUCAAGUAUUACGCAGCCCAACACAGAAGCUGCCUUUUCGUACUACGAAGAAAUACUACACUGAUGCUCCAGUUUGCUACACGCAACCUAUGCUACACCAAGGUACAACACCGAAGCUCCCAAGUACUACAUCAAAGAAGUCGCAUAUUACACAAGUCAACCACGUCCGCCGCCCCAGUUUACUUCACCGAGGAACCCAAGUAUUAAUCUGCUCCAAGCUACUACCAAACUGAGCUCAGAAGUACUACACCAGCAAGGUUCCUGAGUGUUACACCACUACUUACGCUGCUACGACCUACACACCGAAGUUCCAUAGUAUUCCUAUGCCCCGAGUUACUACACUACUAGAGCACCAACAAAUUACAACACAAUCUUUCUUCUUCGUUUAACGUUUGCGAUGGUUGCUGUCCAAUGAGGUUUGAUACUGCAGCAUAUGCUGGGGAAACGUUUAUGCGCAUCAAAUUUAAUUUUGGCUAUUACUUGAUGCUGGUAUUGUGUUUUGAAAGUUGCAAUUUGUAUUUGGUUCAAUUGGCAUUUUGUAUAUUUUAUUCGGAUGUUAAGAUUUUAGAAGAAAGAAAAACAAACAUGGGGAAUUUAAUGCCAUACAAAAAAUAAACAAAUCUUUGCAAUUAGGGAAGGAAGGAGGAGAAAACUGGGAAAGUGAAGUAAUCAUUUGAAUAUUUCAAAUGAAAUUACAUUAUUUAAUUUAUUGUGAAAUUUUCAUAUUGUUGACUAGUAAUGUAAUAAAUAUGAAAAAUAAACUUGUUCCGUCACAAUAA